rnacentral:rRNA from 1 species
UGGGGAAUCUUGGACAAUGGGGGCAACCCUGAUCCAGCCAUGCCGCGUGAGUGAUGAAGGCCUUAGGGUCGUAAAGCUCUUUCGCCUGUGAAGAUAAUGACGGUAGCAGGUAAAGAAACCCCGGCUAACUCCGUGCCAGCAGCCGCGGUAAUACGGAGGGGGUUAGCGUUGUUCGGAAUUACUGGGCGUAAAGCGCACGUAGGCGGACCAGAAAGUUGGGGGUGAAAUCCCGGGGGCUCAACCCCGGAACUGCCUCCAAAACUAUUGGUCUAGAGUUCGAGAGAGGUGAGUGGAAUUCCAAGUGUAGAGGUGAAAUUCGUAGAUAUUUGGAGGAACACCAGUGGCGAAGGCGGCUCACUGGCUCGAUACUGACGCUGAGGUGCGAAAGUGUGGGGAGCAAACAGGAUUAGAUACCCUGGUAGUCCACACCGUAAAACGAUGAAUGCCAGUCGUCGGGUAGCAUGCUAUUC